AUAUUGGACAAUGGGCGAAAGCCUGAUCCAGCCAUGCCGCGUGAGUGAUGAAGGCCUUGGGGUUGUAAAGCUCUUUCACCGGUGAAGAUAAUGACGGUAACCGGAGAAGAAGCCCCGGCUAACUUCGUGCCAGCAGCCGCGGUAAUACGAAGGGGGCUAGCGUUGUUCGGAAUUACUGGGCGUAAAGCGCACGUAGGCGGAUUAUUAAGUCAGGGGUGAAAUCCCGCAGCUCAACUGCGGAACUGCCUUUGAUACUGGUAAUCUAGAGACCGAGAGAGGUAAGUGGAACUCCUAGUGUAGAGGUGGAAUUCGUAGAUAUUAGGAAGAACACCAGUGGCGAAGGCGACUGCCUGGACGAUAACUGACGCUGAGGCACGAAAGCUAGGGGAGCAAAC
rnacentral:rRNA from 1 species